CGAAAUCAAGAAACAAUCUCUCUUCAAAACAUAAAUUCAAUAUCAACCAUCAACAUUUUUGUAUUGGCCUUAGAGUAUCACUUUGAAAACCCUUUUUCAAGCUAUAAAAUCAACAAAACAAACCAAGAUUUUGUACCACGAACUACGGGACUCUGAUUUCUCUGAUUUCUCACUUCGACAAGACUCAUUCAAGCAUAGACAUCCUAGACGAUGGAUGUGAGAGGUGAUAAUAUCUUCCCUUUGCAUAAUCGAUUUGUGAACCUUCGUGAUUGUGAUGACCCUUUUUUUGGGAUUUUCUCUAUAUUUUUCUUUUCCUAUGAAAUAAAUAAAAUCUAAUGGCGACUCUGUAUUUUUCGCUUAGCGACAAUGGUAUGAAUAUGUAUAAGUGUAGAUGUUAAUUUUUAUCAUUAGAGAUAAGUAUGAAUAAUU
rnacentral:lncRNA from 1 species